UAACAAGCUUAGGUGGCACUAGGCCAUAGACUAUCCAAACGUGAGAGAAGCCAAAAUUGCCUGUAACUGCUCCAGACUGAAGCAGGUCAGAGUAGCUGAUGAAGGGGGCACUGGCAGGCUGUGUAGGAAGGUGUGAAAUGUACCUGCUUUCCAAGGAAACAUGAGGGCCGGCAUGACCUUCUGCUCUGGGUGUAGCGAUCGACACGGAUCAGUACCUACACAGAAAUAAAGUUCACACCUUUCUAACUGUUGGUUUGCAUAAAUGAUUGGAAUGGAGAGAGAGUUGGUGGGUUUGUUUGCUUUUUCUUACUCGGGGCACCCUUACAUUUUGGAACUGAUGUUUUUGUUUAUUGUGUGUUACACUGUUUCACUGUCCUUCAUGUAGCGCCGUUUUCUAAUAAGGAUGCUGCCACACCGGGAAAGGCAUCAGAGAAUGUUAGAAAGCCUGGAUGGAAUAUUUUUCCAGAUUUUUUUUUUUUUUAACUCCAGAACAACAACAACUCCAACAGUCUUGAUCUCUCGCUGUCCUGCAAAGCACGUUCACACACAAGGAGAGACUGAGCUGCUUUCUGACACACUGCCAUACCCUCUUCAAGUCUCCAGUCAGCUUCAAGAACAACUUCUGGGACCCUGACACUCUUCUUGCAGCUCACAACUGCACACACCCCUUUUCAUCUCUAUCCUGUCUUUCUGGUUAUUUCCACCCUCACCUUGCUUUGAGACUGGAUCUGUUUCAGUUGUACAUCUCUGCUUUCUUUAGUAUAUGUCUCCUUCUCCCUCCUGCUUUAUUAUAUUAGAAGCUGCCUCACCUUCUCCACCCUCUUAUAUUGUUAGAGUCUGUGUCUCCAUCUCCACCCCCUUUUAUUAUGCUAGGGUCUGUCUCUCCAUCUCCACCCUCUUAAAUUCUUUAGGGUCUGUCUCUCCAUCUCCACCCUCUUAUAUUCUUUAGGGUCUGUCUCUCCAUCUCCACCCUCUUAUAUUCUUUAGGGUCUGUCUCUCCAUCUCCACCCUCUUAUAUUCUUUAGGAUCUGUCUCUCCAUCUCCGCCCUCAUAUUGUUAUGGUCUGUCUGUCCUUCUAUACCCUCUUUCAUUAUUCUAAGAUCUGUCCCUCCUUCUCUUCCUCUCUUUAAGCUGUUGCCUUCUCUGUUCUUUUCCUCAUUUUGAAAGUGUCUGCAGUCUCUGCCCUGCUGCUUGCUCUCGCCCGUGGUCUCCAUUCAGCCCCUAAAUCACAGGCCAUGCUCUUUUAUCUUUGUGUUUGUCCUCGCCGUGUCUCUCUGGCCUUUCUUCACUUUUCUUCCGCUGUGCUCUCUGUUGCUCCUCUGCUUGCGUGUCUUAUGUGUGGCUGUCAUGUGCCUUUUGGGUUUUUAUCUGGUACAUGCUGGUUUAUAGGGCAGAAGGAGUGGCGGAAAUCUGUUCUUUAUCUUUGCAGAAGUAUUGUCAUAUAUGAAAGGCAUUUUUCUUGUAUUUCUGAUGUAUGCUGUGUACUGGAGGUUAUAAAGCUGUGGUCUUAGAUGAUGAAUGUUUCACUGCAGUAGUUAAUAUAUUUUACCAUAUGGGGAUGCAGUCCAUUCUAUUCAGUCUUUUCUCUGGAGAAUGUGUAUUCUCGUUGCUGACAAAGCUGGCCUGGAUGAUCAGGGACAGGCAGUGUCGCUCAGCAAACACUAGAGGUCACUGUUACUGUAUGGGAAUAUCUUUCUCUGUUUUGAGAGGAUCGGUUAUAUAUAUACAUAUAUGUGAGGAAUAUUACCUUUUUGGCACUUGUGAUAAAAAGCAGUGGUCAUAGACAUUAUGCCAAGCAACGCAUAAUGCUUGUGCAUUUAACGGUCUCCUCGGUUCGCGAAUUUGAGAGAUAUGGGAUGAUUUCAUAAAACAUUAAGCCAGCUAGCAUCUGCCACAGGUGGUGUUAAGUGCCCGAGGUAGAGGAUGGGCGAGGGGGUAGCCGCCAGCUUACGAGUCCACUGAGAGAGGCACACCGGAGGGCCCAGCGGACGCCACGGGCGACAGCAUGCAGACCCUCGUGCUGCAUCACAGUGUGUGUCGGGGUAUUUUCAGUCUGUGUGCUGUUACGUCCCCAGAGGGUGCCUGACUCAAAAGGCUGAAAUCAGAUACAAAUCUAAAUUAAGGUGACCAUAUGUACCCACAGAGAGCAUGACAUGCUCUGAGAAUGAUUAGAGGGAGGUGGGAGUGCAGAAGGAGGGGGGGGGGGUUUCUGGAGGCCUCUUUUGCAUUUUUUCUUACCCUGUUGAGCAGGAGUUCGUUCAGACAGCUGCAGUAUUAUGAGGUAUGUGUCAUAACCCAGAGGGGCUGGCGUUCAUCUACAAUGGAUCUGAAACUGUAAUGCUUUCUAUGAGACCUCGUAGGAACAGAGAGCAGCCGAUCGCACAGGCUGAGGGCGGCGUGAAGCGCAGAGCUGCCCGCAAACAGAGGCAGACGGACACCUCUGCACUAAAAACAAAUGCUUCUUUUUAACCGUAGCAGCAGGUGUGGCUGCCUCUACUGUCAAGACGAAAAAGCAACAACCUGAGGAAUCGGGCUGCUUCCUUUAAAAUAACUCAUGCACUGGUCACCUCCUAAUUCCACCUCUUCUACUACUUCUACUACUCGUACCAAUCGUAGUACCACCACAGCUACUACUGCUCCUUCUACUACUACCUCCUUCCACACCAGUCUGAC